ACUUGUGCGGUUCAGUGGUAGAAUUCUCGCCUUCCAUGUGGGACACCCGGGUUCGAUUCCCAGCUCAUGCA
rnacentral:tRNA from 1 species